AACGUAGGACGCGAGCGUUAUCCGGAGUUACUGGGCGUAAAGCGCGGGCAGGCGGCUUGUCAAGUCUGAUGUGAAAGCUCCCGGCUUAACCGGGAGAGGCCAUUGGAAACUGAUGAGCUGGAGGGCAGGAGAGGUGUGUGGAAUUCCGGGUGGAGUGGUGAAAUGCGUAGAGAUCCGGAGGAACACCAGAGGCGAAGGCGGCACACUGGGCUGCACCUGACGCUGAACCGCGAAAGCCAGGGGAGCGAACGGG
rnacentral:misc_RNA from 1 species